AUUGAACGCUGGCGGCAUGCUUUACACAUGCAAGUCGAACGGUAACAGGCCUUCGGGUGCUGACGAGUGGCGAACGGGUGCGUAAUGCAUCGGAACGUACCCAGAGGUGGGGGAUAACGCAGCGAAAGCUGUGCUAAUACCGCAUGUGAUCUGAGGAUGAAAGCGGGGGACCGAGCAGCAAUGUUUGGCCUCGCGCCCUUGGAGCGGCCGAUGUCGGAUUAGCUAGUUGGUGGGGUAAAGGCCUACCAAGGCGACGAUCCGUAGCUGGUCUGAGAGGACGACCAGCCACACUGGGACUGAGACACGGCCCAGACUCCUACGGGAGGCAGCAGUGGGGAAUUUUGGACAAUGGGCGCAAGCCUGAUCCAGCAAUGCCGCGUGCGGGAAGAAGGCCCUCGGGUUGUAAACCGCUUUUGGCAGGAACGAAACGGUGUCCGCUAAUACCGGGCGCUAAUGACGGUACCUGCAGAAUAAGCACCGGCUAACUACGUG
rnacentral:rRNA from 1 species